ACAGUCGAGCUGGUCCACCCGGCCUUGGGGCCUUGGGCAGGUGGCACAGAGGCCGACUGCAGGCUGGAGAGCCAGCUCUAGGGAGGCAGAGCUAAGACACAGGUGUCUGACAUCAGGCACCUCAGCUCUUGGAACCUGCGCUGCCCUGAUUAGCUAAGUACAAAGGCAGUUCGAAUUACUGCCUCUCCCCAGCCAAUCGCCUGCUGGCCUGGUUGACAGGAGCAGGCCCCCUGAUGUCAGGGACGUCCGCUCACUGGCUAGAACCAAGAGAGCCGGUUUCUACCGUGCCCGCGGGCAACCCUGCUCCAGGCACCUUAGAGCUGUUUGUCCGGUAAAGAACUCUCUCUCUCUGCCCGCCCACGGCGCCGCCCCAGGGUCCUCAAACACUCAAACCCGCUGUGCAACGAAGGCAAGGCCAAGCUCUUUCUCGCCUCCUCUGCCUGGUUCUGGACGCCCAGAUCCCUGUGCAGCUGAUGGAACUCCAUUUUUUUUUUUAUUAGCUACAGCUUUUUGCAAGCGAGACUUUCUUACAGAAACUGGGAGACAAGGAGACACAAAUACAAAGAAAGAUCUUUUUACAGUCACCGUUCUGAACAAUGAAAUCCAAUAUUGGAGGGGGAAAAAAUCACCUCAGAUGUGAAAACAGAUAAAACUCCAACGGAGUGGGCACCGCAUCCCACUGUGGGCAGGGCUGUCCCGGACACCCUAAAACCCAGCCAGCUGAAGCCAUUGUACGCCCUUGAAAUGGCAAUCCUUUGCAGCUGUAUGGCUAGGCAGCGCUUGAUUCAAGUUUGGUAUUUGCCCCAGACUGUAGGGGUCAGCUUAACAGUAACCAUAGACACAAAGAAAGAGAGAACAGCGCACACAGAAAAAAAACCGGCACUCCGGCACUCCAAGUGCGCCUGAGUUCCUGGGUAUGCAAAUGGUUUUCGUUUGUCUGGGAUGCUAUGGUGCGUGUGUAUGUGCGUGCAUGUCUGUGCACAUGCACAAGUUUCAGGAAGAGUCUUAGGAAGAGUCUAAUAGACUAAAGUAAUUGACUGAGCCACUGGGAGUCCUACCUUGAAAAGCAUUAAUGAAGUUCUCAAGAGGGUAGUUAUUAUAUACAUAUAUGUUUACAUAUAUUAUAUUUAUAUUAAUACAAAUUCAUAUAAUAUAUCUCCAUUAAUGUUAUAUUGUUAAAAGAUAUUAUACUAAUUUUCAUAAAUUUAUGAUAAUAUAAAUUAAUUUUUAUGCCUGGCAUGGUGACACACACCUUUAAUCUCAGCACUCAGGAUGCCAGGUGGACUGGACUGUAUUUAGUUAUAGCAAUGGAAAGUUAUUAAGUACAGAUACCCUUCACAGUCACCAUAAACAGACAAGCUUCUCACAUUGGAAUGUAUAGGAAUCUUCUUCAUUUAGCAGAGGAACCAGACACACAGGACUGCUUGCUUCCCUGCCCACCAACCAUAGCUCAGGUAAGACCUGCUCUCACAAGCCGGGCAUGAUGGCGCACCUAGGUGAGUCUUUGACAGAAUAUGAUGUUUUUAUUUUUCCUUUUCCCUAAAAGCCAGUAGCCCCUGGACUGUGGCAUACCCUAUUUUCCGAGCACCUUUUCAAAAACAAACCGAAAGGCUGGAGGGUUUCAUGUUACCUUGUGAUGGACGGCCUCGACUGAAGGAUUUUCCUUAAUGAUUUGCACAGGUCCCUCGGGGUGCCCGUUUAAGAUUGGAGAUGAGGGUCCUCGGUGGGAAAGCUGCACCAAGAGCAAAAGCCUGGCUGCUUCACUCGCUUUCUCCUCUUUGGCUGAACUCAGCACGUUUACCUUUCUCUAGGAGUUGGGGGCAGGUGGAGUUUGUAUGUAAGGUGGAUUUGGAUGCCUGUCAGCCCUCUUGACUGCAUGCUUAUGACAUAUUCCCAAAGCUCAAAGACCUGUCUGUCAGUAGGUUUUUUGAAAAUGAGAAGUUUGUCCUUAAUACUCUCUGGAGGAACGUAAGGAAUUUUAUGAAUGGGGGAGACAGAAAAAGCCUCUUGGCAUCUGAUCUGCUUUCCUUUUUCUAGAGCAUUGGCCAACUUCUAACAUGCUAUGCACAGUCCGCAUGUAACUGUCUGCAUGUUGUAUGUACUGCCUGUUGCCUGUGCUCACAAGAAUGUCAGCUUCUUUAGGACAAGCAUGCUUGGUUAUUGUGUUUGAGUCCUGGGUACAUACAGCAAUUGCUGGCUAAUAUUAGAUGCUUAUUCAGUAGAUUAGGCAUUAUUUAAAAAAAAAAAAAAAUCAGACCGGGCAGUGGUGGCACACGCCUUUAAUCCCAGCACUUGGGAGGCAGAGACAGGCGGAUUUCUGAGUUUGAGGCCAGCCUGGUCUACAGGGUGAGUUCCAGGACAGCCAGGGCUACACAGAGAAACCCUGUCUCGAAAAACAAAAACAAAGCAAAACAAAACAAAAACAAAAACAAAAAAAAUCAGUAAAAGGUUCAGAAGAAAUAUUUUUCACAUAUCACUUAUAGAAUUCACAGUGUGUGUAUGUGUUUGUAUGUGCGCACAUAGACAUAUUCAUGUGGGUGUAUGGGUAUGAGUGUAUGUGAAAGCAAGAAGGCUAUGUCCAGCUGGGGAGUGGUAGUGGUGGCGCACACCUUUGAUCCCAGCACUUGGGAGGCAGAGGAAGGCAGAUCUCUGAGUUAGAGGCCAGCCUGGUUCUCAGAGUGAGUUCUAGGACAGCCAGGGUUACAUAGAGAAACCCUAUCUUGAAAAACAAAAACAAAACCAACAACAAAAGUCUAUGUCCAGUACUCUUCCUUGGUUACUCUCUACCUCCCUCUUUUUUAAGAUCCUGUCUCUCACUGACCCCAGAUGAGUUCCCAAGGCCCUGCAUGUCUCUGUUCCCAACCCCAAGCACUGGCUAACAGAUGCAUAGGUUUUUCAUAAGUGCUUAGGAUCCGUCUUCAUGCUCCGGUGCCUGUCACCAACUUACCAACUUAGCUACUCCCCCAGCUGCUGUGCUGUGUCUUUGGAAGACAGAAGCAUUGUCAAAUGGAUCACAAUAGUGAGAGUGACAAGGGCCACGGGAAUGAUGAUGUGCAGCUGAGAAAAGGCUUCGGUUCCAACCGUGGUGGCUUUCAGAAUGAGCUCAGUUGAACUUCGGGAGCGCUCACAUGCAGGCUCCCAGCUGAAAGAAAACUGACCAUGGAGCUGGGAGAGGAACCUGGUGAGCUCAUCUGGUCUCUUCCAGUCCAUUUUCUUUUACUAUCAUAGGAAACUGUAUUUGUUGGAGAACUCCAGAGUGUCUGAAGGAGUCAGAUUUUUCCAGGAUGCUCUGGGCGAGUGAACUCACUGGCAAAUAAACCAAUGCUGCUUU
ensembl:lincRNA